rnacentral:tRNA from 1 species
AAUGAUAUGCCUGAUAAAAGGAUUAUUUUGAUAGAAUAAAUUAUGUAUUAAAUUUUAAUUACUUUCAUUA